GGAUGUGAAGGCGAUGUGGCUGCAACAUCUGUCACCCCAUUGAUGGCCAGGGUUGGUUCGGCUGAUCUGGCUGGCUAAGCGGGUGUCCCCUUCCUCCAUCACCACUCCAUGUGCGUCCCUCCCAAAGCUGUGUGCUUGGUCGAAGAGGACGACCUUCCACAAAUAGGGGAGGACCGGUCUUCAGUCACGGGUACACAAGCACCUGCGCUCCCCUGCUAGAACCUCCAAACAAGCUCUCAAAAUAAUCCUAGCCCAGUAUCAGCAGGUUUUGUUUUAGUAGAAAUUGGCGGUCUGAUUAUGAGUUUUUACGUAGAGUAGAAAUACAGAGGACCUGAACAAGUUCACUGCUCU
rnacentral:snRNA from 1 species